CAGUAGCCACGGUAAUACGUAGGUGGCGAGCGUUGUCCGGAAUUAUUGGGCGUAAAGGGAGCGCAGGCGGGCGAGUAAGUCUUUCUUAAAAGUGCGGGGCUCAACCCCGUGAGGGGAGAGAAACUACUCAUCUUGAGUGCAGGAGAGGAAAGCGGAAUUCCUAGUGUAGCGGUGAAAUGCGUAGAUAUUAGGAAGAACACCAGUGGCGAAGGCGGCUUUCUGGACUGUAACUGACGCUGAGGCUCGAAAGCCAGGGGAGCGAACGGGAUUAGAUACUCCUGUAGUCCCUGUCUCUUAUACA
rnacentral:rRNA from 1 species